UACAUCCAGAAACCUCUCUCAAGGCAGCUCGUGCCCCCAGGCAGGAUUCCAACAGUGCAGAAGCCCCCAGUCCCCAAGUCCGGGGUGGCAAGGACUUCCAGCCUCCCCGGGGAGCCACCUUGGCCCUCCCUCCCUCCUGCUGGCUGGGUGCCGCGCUGCGGGGCUGCUCAGGUUCCCUGCUGAGUCCCCCGCUGGGCUGUGAUCGUUGCGGAUUUAAACACCACACUGUGGAAGCGGAGAUGGCCCCGCGUGCACCGCUGAAGUGAAGGGGCUCGUGGCAAAUGAUGCGGGGGGACAGCGGCCAGAGCAGACCCCGGCGGGGUGGCCCGCCCGGGAGGUGGCUGAGGGUCCCCGGCUGCGGGGUGAGGGGCGGGACCGGGAGGCACACCCUCCGUGAUCGCCACCAGAGGCCGCCUGGAACCCGAGUUUCAACCUCCCGGGGAUCCUGUCCCGCUUCCCAGCGAUGUUUGCCAUGACUGCUGCGAGUUCUCCGACCUCGAGGCCACUCUCCUUUCCUUCCAAGGACGCCCAGAACCCGCGGAGGGAGGAGGGGGUGAGGGAGGAGGGAGAGAGGAGGCAGGAGGGAGGGAGGAAGGUGGCGGGGAGAAGAAGAGAGGGAGGGAGGAAAAGGAAGGAACUGCGUUGGCCUGUCGCCUCCGCACUGUAAGAUUCUGGCACCCAGGGUCCCGGCCCCCUCUCCUGGGGCCAAACGUUCCGGUUCCCGAUGCCAGGCUGCAGAAAAAAUGAGCACACUGAACACGUGGACUAGCACAUAAAUAAGGUUAUUACCUCCUUUUUAUUUUUUGCACACUAAUUAAUAAACUACUGCAACGGAAAAAGAGAAAGCAGGCAGAAUGCAAA
rnacentral:lncRNA from 1 species